GAUGAACGCUGGCGGCGUGCCUAAUACAAGCAAGUCGAGCGAACGGACGAGAAGCUUUCUUCUCUGAUGUUAGCGGCGGACGGGUGAGUAACACGUGGAUAACCUACCUAUAAGACUGGGAUAACUUCGGGAAACCGUAGCUAAUACCGGAUAAUAUUUUGAACCGCAUGGUUCAAAAGUGAAAGACGGUCUUGCUGUCACUUAUAGAUGGAUCCGCGCUGCAUUAGCUAGUUGGUAAGGUAACGGCUUACCAAGGCAACGAUGCAUAGCCGUCCUGAGAGGGUGAUCGGCCACACUGGAACUGAGACACGGUCCAGACUCCUACGGGAGGCAGCAGUAGGGAAUCUUCCGCAAUGGGCGAAAGCCUGACGGAGCAACGCCGCGUGAGUGAUGAAGGUCUUCGGAUCGUAAAACUCUGUUAUUAGGGAAGAACAUAUGUGUAAGUAACUGUGCACAUCUUGACGGUACCUAAUCAGAAAGCCACGGCUAACUACGUG
rnacentral:rRNA from 1 species